CCCUGGGUUGGCAAAUUUGUCCUGAAGUCGCAGAGGCUAAACCCAAAGGGAUUGAGGAUGAGGAGAUGAAAUGUCUGCCCUGCAUAAAGAAAUGCAAAACGAGCACAACUUGCAGUAAUUGUGAAUUACCAUUCAUCAUCACCAUUCACCAUCAUCACCGUCUCAUUCUGGCGGAUCUGUAGAAAUCCAAGGAAGUUUGGAGAUAGAAACCCUUCAGCAGCUCUGACCAAUGAGAUUUGCCUCCAACUACUGCCUUCGGAGCCAUCCAGGUGGCAUCCUCAGAAGAUGGCUAAGCCCUGUAGCAGCAGUUCUACCUGAAGGUCCCAGGGUUAGAACUGCAACAGCAACAAGCACAGGGUGAACCUCCCAUCAAGGCAAGGCUGAUUAGAAAUUAGGGUAACACUUUACUUAAGGGGGCACAAAUAUUUAGUACUCAGUUACUACUAACUUAAGUAACAAAUAUCAUGAACAAAUAUUGUAGCUAAAGAUGCAUCACGACUCAUUAAUGAUGCACAAACAUGAGAUCAGCAUUUCACAUGUGCUAUAUUCAUUAUAUGUUCCUCCAGUAGUUCCUUCAAUAGUUCACAAAAGUUUACAGAAUUUACAUACAUAGUAACAGAUAUCGUAGCCGAUUGAGAAAACAUGCCAUAAAUCAUUAAUGAUGAAUUAACAUGAGAUGAGUAUGUAACACUUAAUUUGUGGUUAAUUAAUAGCAUACUGUAAUGCUACAUUAUUUGUGGCCCCUUAAGUAAAAUGUUACUGAAAUUGCAAUCCAAAAACACAAUGAGGAUGAAGGGGAAUUAGUAGGUGGGUUUUGGUGGUUAGAAAGGGCUGUGGAGGGAUAGAGAUCAGGGAGCUGGUUAAUUAAGCCCAAGGUGUUUGAUUGUCGGUCCACAACACGCACGCCGAAUUUAUGGCAGAUGGCUGCUAUCCCGGGUGCUGAAAGAGUGGUGUGGUUUCUUGUCAAUUAGCCAGAUGGGACUGCAGGUCCUGGAGACAGUAUUAUAACAGCCCCCCCUGCCCUCAGAGAGAGAGCUGGCGUGCCCAUGUCCAUGCACAGGCCUAAUCUUGCAGGGAGAGGAAUCAGACGGCGAUAUGGGCUUUCUCCUUAGCUGAGGUGAUCCACUGGAGUGCCGCAUGGCUGAUCACCAACAUGAACUGUCACCCAAGUAGGUAAUAGUGGAGUUUGGUGACGGCCCAAUCUUAGGCAGUCUAAGAAAUGUUUUUAGCUAUUUAUUUGGGUACUUAGUGUAUAUUUGUUCAGAAAAACAGCACAAUUUAACAUUAGAAAAUAUGCAAAUUAAAAGAGAGAGAAUUUUUUUAUGUAGUGGUUGAUAUGACAACUAAAACAUGAAAAGCCUAAUUCAAUGCAAUGCUAUUUGUAUGUCGCAUCAAUUUUUUGUGUAUUUGUCCAGUUCCUUAUAAAACUGAAGAAUGGUGAAACAAUCCAUGCAGUUCCCAGUCCACAAGACAGAAGUAAAGUUUUUACCUACAGGCAAUUAGGCUUUUCUUCAUCAACCUUUUUAUCUACAGGCAAUUAGGCUUUUCACCAAAACGAACUGCAUUUCAAAUCUGGCCACAAUUAAUACUCCCAUUAUGUAUGACAAAUGUAAAGAGUUUGUUCAUGGAAGCUUUGCAGGUUAUUUACAUGCUGUAGACAACAUCAGCAAGGUAUCGGAAGCCAUACACUGUAUAUUCAUUGUCUAUAAUGGGGCUUUUUUGGUUUCUUGUCUUAUAAUAGAGAAAAGACUGUAUGCCUUUUUACAUUUUUAUUCUGUUAGAAGUGGUAAUUACUGGCAUUUUACUGUCCUCAGAAAAAAAAUGAUAAAUGCAGCAGUCUUCUGUGGAACAAGAAGAAAAUUAUAGAAGAAUAUAACCUUUCUGCUGACACCUCCUGAGAGAUGUGAGGGAAAAGGAAGCCAUAGUCCAUUAUGGGUGUUUAUUAUUUUCAUUUAUUCAGCAUUUAUUUUCUAAAAUGCAUACACCCACUUCCUCCAUUUGAUGCUGUGUGAGGGACUGUGUGAUAAUUGCCAUUACUGAGCCUCUCGUUUUGUUCGUCUAUCUGUUCCCUACUUGUACCUGUUUCACUGACUGAUUUCGGAGUUGGUUUCACACCUGGUUUGCCAGCCUGUUUUAGCCCAUUUAUCGUAUUUUCUCUGCAUUUAGAUUCUUGAUUCAGUUUCUGUCGGCCCGCCUGGUUUUGACUCUUGCUUUCUGAUUGUGGAUAGUGAUUAAAGACUCCCUCUGCA